rnacentral:misc_RNA from 1 species
AGCAGCCGCGGUAAUUCCAGCUCCAGUAGCGUAUAUUAAAGUUGUUGCAGUUAAAAGCUCGUAGUUGAAUUUCGGGGUUAGCAGGUCGGUCGUGCCAUCGGUAUGAACUGGUCUCGCUGAUCCCUCCCUCUUGACGAACUGUGAUGCCAUUAAUUUGGUGUCGCAGGGAAUCAGGACUGUUACUUUGAAAAAAUUAGAGUGUUUAAAGCAGGCUCACGCUUGAAUACAUUAGCAUGGAAUAAUGAAAUAGGACGUUUGAUCCUAUUUUGUUGGUUUCUAGGAUUGACGUAAUGAUUAAUAGGGAUAGUUGGGGGCAUUAGUAUUCAAUUGUCAGAGGUGAAAUUCUUGGAUUUAUUGAAGACUAACUACUGCGAAAGCAUUUGCCAAGGAUGUUUUCAUUAAUCAAGAACGAAAGUUAGGGGAUCGAAGACGAUCAGAUACCGUCGUAGUCUUAACCAUAAACUAUGCCGACUAGGGAUCGGAUGAUGUUAAUUUUUUAAUGACUCAUUCGGCGCCUUAC